rnacentral:rRNA from 1 species
UACGUAGGGAGCAAGCGUUGUCCGGAAUCAUUGGGCGUAAAGCGCGCGUAGGUGGCUUCGUAAGUCCGUUGUGAAAGUCAAAGGCUCAACCUUUGAAAGCCGAUGGAUACUGUGAAGCUAGAGUACGGAAGAGGCGAGUGGAAUUCCUGGUGUAGCGGUGGAAUGCGCAGAUAGUCGGGGAAGAACACCCCGUGGCGAAGGCGGCUCUCUGGGGACGGUACUGACGCUGAGACGCGAAAGCGUGGGGAGCAAACAGGG